AAUCCAUAGGUUAAUGAGGCGAACCGGGGGAACUGAAACAUCUAAGUACCCCGAGGAAAAGAAAUCAACCGAGAUUCCCCCAGUAGCGGCGAGCGAACGGGGAGGAGCCCAGAGCCUGAAUCAGCAUGUGUGUUAGUGGAAGCGUCUGGAAAGGCGCGCGAUACAGGGUGACAGCCCCGUACACAAAAGCGCAUGUGCUGUGAGCUCGAUGAGUAGGGCGGGACACGUGGUAUCCUGUCUGAAUAUGGGGGGACCAUCCUCCAAGGCUAAAUACUCCUGACUGACCGAUAGUGAACCAGUACCGUGAGGGAAAGGCGAAAAGAACCCCGGCGAGGGGAGUGAAAAAGAACCUGAAACCGUGUACGUACAAGCAGUGGGAGCACAGGUUUACCUGUGUGACUGCGUACCUUUUGUAUAAUGGGUCAGCGACUUAUAU
rnacentral:rRNA from 1 species